UACGGGGGGGGCAAGCGUUGUUCGGAAUCACUGGGCUUAAAGGGCGCGUAGGCGGAUUUGUCAGUCAGGGGUGAAAUCCCGGGGCUCAACCUCGGAACUGCCUUUGAUACAGCAAGUCUUGAGUUCGAGAGAGGUGGGUGGAAUUCCUAGUGUAGAGGUGAAAUUCGUAGAUAUUAGGAAGAACACCGGUGGCGAAGGCGGCCCACUGGCUCGAUACUGACGCUGAGGUGCGAAAGCGUGGGGAGCAAACAGG
rnacentral:rRNA from 1 species